UUAAAUUUUCAAAGAACAAAAGAAUGCUUGUUUUAUUGGAUACGUGUUUGUGUUUAGUUUUAAAAUAGUUGUAUUUAGUGAUUAUUCAUUGUAAUAAUAAUUGUGUGUGGUUUCUAGAAGAGAAAGUAAAAACUUUAUAGUUGCAAAUCGGAAAUUUGAUAAUGUGAUGUUAAAAUGCGGAACCGAUCUAUCAGUCUUGUAUUUAUAACUCUUAUACUAUGGGCCAUUGUGACUUAUUUUUUAAUUUUUUAUAAAUCAAAUAAGAAUAAAUCGAAGUACAAAUUUGGAUUGCAAAUGAAUAAAUUAGAAAACGAAAUAAAUGAGCUCAUCUCAAUUAAUGCACAACUUCUACAAGAAUUUAAUAUACAACACAUACAAAGCUAUAAUAAGUAUGAAAAUGCAACAUAUAAAGUCAAUUCACUUCAUAAUAAGAAUUAUUCAUUAAAAACACGCGAAUUUAUGAAAGUUUAUGAUGAAAAUAAAAGAAAAUCUAUAGUGCGGAGUGAUUUUCACAAUACAACAGACGUUUCGCAACCAGAUCAAAGCGAUAUUGACGUACCACCUAUAGAAAAAAAAUUUAAAGGAUAUUUUAAAAUAGCAAGACAUUAUGGAUGGGCAUUAAAUGAGAUUUUUUUUAAAUUUGCGUAUGAAACAGCAAUUGUAAUUGAAGAUGAUUUAGAUAUAGCUCCAGAUUUUUUCGAAUAUUUCUUGGGUACACAUUUCUUAUUAACAGCAGAUCCGUCAUUAUGGUGCAUAUCAGCAUGGAAUGAUAAUGGAAAAUCUGAUUUAGUUGAUUUAAAAAGUCCACAUUUAUUAUACAGAACUGAUUUUUUUCCUGGCUUGGGAUGGAUGUUGACUAGAAAUCUUUGGCAAGAAUUAUCUCCUAAAUGGCCCAAAUCUUAUUGGGAUGACUGGAUUCGAGAACCCGAACAAAGAAAAAAUCGUUCAUGUAUAAGACCAGAACUAUCACGUACUCGAACAUUUGGAAAGUUUGGUGUUAGCAACGGACUAUUCUAUGAAAAGCAUUUACAAUUUAUUAAACUUAAUCAGCAACUUGUGCCUUUCACUAAAAUGAAUUUAACGUAUUUAUUAAAAGAAUAUUAUGAUCAUGCUUUUGUUAAUGAAGUAUAUAAAUCAGAAGUAGUAGCACAUACUGAUUUAAAAGCAAAUAAAAUUACUCCUUUGGGAUCAAUUCGAUUACCAUAUUAUACUCGUCAAACUUAUAAAACUGUUGCAAAAAUAUUUGGACUUAUGGAUGAUUUCAAAGUUUGAAGUGAGUACUCAGUUUAUUUCAUAAUUGUUUGAGACACUGGGCGUUCGAAUUGCGAGAAUUUUCUUCCGGGGCUGUUGCUGCAUAGCUUAUUGCUUGAUGUUCAGUUCAAUUGCACAACAGCUGCUGUGGAGAAAUGAGUGGUGUACCAAGAACAGGAUAUCGAGGAAUAGUUACAUUUUUUUAUGGUGGCCGCAGAGCAUAUUUAACUCCAAC